ACGCUAGCGGCAGGCCUAACACAUGCAAGUCGAGGGAGGAGCCUUCGGGCUUCGACCGGCGUACGGGUGCGUAACGCGUAUACAAUCUGCCUUUCACAUAGGGAUAGCCCGAAGAAAUUUGGAUUAAUACCUAAUGGUAUAUAGGAGUGGCAUCACAUUUAUAUUAAAGCUGAGGCGGUGAAAGAUGAGUAUGCGUUCUAUUAGCUAGUUGGAGAGGUAACGGCUCCCCAAGGCGACGAUAGAUAGGGGUUCUGAGAGGGAUAUCCCCCACACUGGUACUGAGAUACGGACCAGACUCCUACGGGAGGCAGCAGUGAGGAAUAUUGGACAAUGGUCGGAAGACUGAUCCAGCCAUGCCGCGUGCAGGAAGACGGCCUUAUGGGUUGUAAACUGCUUUUGCAGGGGAAGAAUAAGGACUACGUGUAGUUUGAUGACGGUACUCUGCGAAUAAGCAUCGGCUAACUCCGUGCCAGCAGCCGCGGUAAUACGGAGGAUGCGAGCGUUAUCCGGAAUCAUUGGGUUUAAAGGGUCCGUAGGCGGGCUAAUAAGUCAGAGGUGAAAGCGCUCAGCUCAACUGAGCAACUGCCUUUGAAACUGUUAGUCUUGAAUGGUUGUGAAGUAGUUGGAAUGUGUAGUGUAGCGGUGAAAUGCUUAGAUAUCACACAGAACACCGAUAGCGAAGGCAUAUUACUAACAAUUAAUUGACGCUGAUGGACGAAAGCGUGGGGAGCGAACAGGAUUAGAUACCCUGGUAGUCCACGCUGUAAACGAUGGAUACUAGCUGUUUGGUUGUAAGACUGAGUGGCUAAGCGAAAGUGAUAAGUAUCCCACCUGGGGAGUACGCACGCAAGUGUGAAACUCAAAGGAAUUGACGGGGGCCCGCACAAGCGGUGGAGCAUGUGGUUUAAUUCGAUGAU
rnacentral:rRNA from 1 species